UCGGAGACAGAGAUCAACUGCCAUGGCCUUUAUACACAAUAUGGUUACAGUCCUGAUGUUGGUUGUGCUGCAUUGUCAUCUGGUGGCUCACUUGGGAGAGAAAAACUGUUCCCAGUCUCAGUAAUCCUAUAUGAAUAGAAAUACAAGGAAAACAUGAUUUAACAGUAGGGAAACAUAAAGAAGAUACAACAAUUUUAUUUCUCCUGGUGAUGUUUCUUUGCAAGUGGCUUUGGUCAA
rnacentral:lncRNA from 10 species